rnacentral:rRNA from 1 species
AUUGAACGCUGGCGGCAUGCCUUACACAUGCAAGUCGAACGGUAACAGGUCUUCGGAUGCUGACGAGUGGCGAACGGGUGAGUAAUACAUCGGAACGUGCCUAGUAGUGGGGAUAACUACUCGAAAGAGUGGCUAAUACCGCAUGAGAUCUACGGAUGAAAGCAGGGGAUCGCAAGACCUUGUGCUACUAGAGCGGCCGAUGGCAGAUUAGGUAGUUGGUGGGAUAAAAGCUUACCAAGCCGACGAUCUGUAGCUGGUCUGAGAGGACGAUCAGCCACACUGGGACUGAGACACGGCCCAGACUCCUACGGGAGGCAGCAGUGGGGAAUUUUGGACAAUGGGCGCAAGCCUGAUUCAGCAAUGCCGCGUGCAGGAUGAAGGCCUUCGGGUUGUAAACUGCUUUUGUACGGAACGAAAAGCCCUGGGUUAAUACCCUGGGGUCAUGACGGUACCGUAAGAAUAAGCACCGGCUAACUACGUGCCAGCCGCCGCAGUAAGAC